GGGAGAUUGGAAUUCUGGGUGUAGCAAUGAAGUGCGUAGAUAUCGAGAAGGAUCACCAGUGGCGAAGGAGAAUCUCUGGACAAUUCAUGACACUGAGGCACGAAAGCCAAGGGAGCAAACGGGAUUAGAUACCCCGGUAGUCUUGGCUGUAAACGUUGCGCACUUGCUGUGAGCGGAUUCGACCCCCGCUCGUGGCGUAGUUAACACGAUAAGUGCGCCGCCUGGGAAGUACGGUCGCAAGAUUAAAACUCAAAGAAAUUGACGGGGGCCUGCACAAGCGGUGGAGUAUGUGGCUUAAUUCGAUGCAACGCGAAGAACCUUACCUAGCCUUGACAUGCAAAUAGUAGAAGCCUGAAAGGGUGACGAGGUAGCAAUACCAGUUUGCACAGGUGCUGCAUGGCUGUCGUCAGCUCGUGUCGUGAGAUGUUGGGUUAAGUCCCGCAACGAGCGCAACCCAUACGUCCUGUUGCCACCCAUUCGAAAGGAUGGAGCACUCUGGACGGACUGCCUCGCUUCAACGGGGAGGAAGGUGGGGAUGACGUCAAGUCAGUAUGGCCCUUACGGCUAGGGCUGCACACGUACUACAAUGCCCGAUACAAAGGGGCGCAAACCGGCGACGGGGAGCAAAUCCUAAAAAUCGGGCCCAGUUCAGAUUGCUGUCUGCAACUCGACAGCAUGAAGCCGGAAUCGCUAGUAAUGGCGCAUCAGCUACGGCGCCGUGAAUACGUUCCCAGGCCUUGUUCACACCGCC
rnacentral:rRNA from 1 species